rnacentral:tRNA from 1 species
GCCUUCGUGGUGUAGUCGGUCAGCACAUUCGGCGCGUAUUCGACAGGUCCGUGGUUCGAGUCCCGGCGAGGGUA